rnacentral:rRNA from 1 species
GAUGAACGCUGGCGGCGUGCCUAAUACAUGCAAGUCGAGCGAACGGACGAGAAGCUUGCUUCUCUGAUGUUAGCGGCGGACGGGUGAGUAACACGUGGAUAACCUACCUAUAAGACUGGGAUAACUUCGGGAAACCGGAUCUAAUACCGGAUGAUAUUUUUAACCGCAUGGUUCAAAAGUGAAAGACGGUCUUGCUGUCACUUAUAGAUGGAUCCGCGCUGCAUUAGGUAGUUGGUAAGGUAACGGCUUACCAAGGCAACGAUGCAUAGCCGACCUGAGAGGGUGAUGGGCAACACGGGAACGGGACACCGGUCCAGACUCCUACGGGAGGCAGAAGUAGGGAAUCUUGCGCAAUGGGCGAAAGCCUGACGGAGCAAGGCGGCGUGAGUGAUGAAGGUCUUCGGAUCGUAAACCUCUGUUAUUAGGGAAGAAGAUAUGUGUAAGUAACUGUGCACAUCUUGACGGUAACUAAUCAGAAAGCCACGGCUAACUACGUG